UAGCCUUGUGAAAAAUCGAUCUCCUCUGCUGCUUCGUCAUUUCUCUCAAACCCAAAGUCCUUUGCUUCUUCUGUCAAAAUCGAAACCAGCAUCUCUGUUGGAUUCCCAACCCAAAUUCGAAUGCUUUGUAGAUCUCAUAGCAAGGACUCGCUUGGGUCAUCAUCGCCUUUUCCACGCUGCUUCAUACUCACUCUGUCAAAAACCCCCAAAUUUUCUCUUCUCUGUUCAAUAGGGGGAUAGAACACUUACGAGCUGACCUUGCCUAUACGAAAUAUAAAGCAUCGGUUUGGGUUCCUAGUGCAAUGGCUUCGUUACUAGCUGGGGCACGAGCAGAGUUUACAACACAAUUUGUGUUUACAAAUGGGUCUGUUGUUUCUGUUGAUUGGCUCCAUGCGAACUUAAGGAGCCUGAUCUGAAGGUGGAGGAUGCCUCUUGGUACAUGCCUCUGUCUCAAACCUCUGCCAGCACCGUCACUAACGUUCACCUGCAUCCAUGAUGGUCCUCAAUCUCGCAGCAUCAGUGCCUUCCGAUAUCCAUCCGAAGGUACUCAUAUUGGUGCUCGCUGUGUAAGGUCUGCGGAUCCAAGAGAGAUUCAAGGGAAAGGGCAAUAAACACACAAGCUCAAAAGACAAAACAGCAAAAAGCCCUGAGGACCCCCAAUCUGUGCAUCUCAUAGAUUUAUUUGACAACGAUCCUCCAGCUGAUGCAUUCACAUGACUCUUAGAUGUUGGAUUAAGCCCAUCAAAGAAAAUAUUCAUCUGUGUAUCUGAAUCAAUAUUAACAUGUGGACACUUUAUGUACAUCUCUGUAUAUCUUUCCCAUGCUUCAUGAAACUCUUCAUUAGGCUU